rnacentral:rRNA from 1 species
GACGAACGCUGGCGGCGUGCUUAACACAUGCAAGUCGAGCGGAAAGGCCACUUCGGUGGUACUCGAGCGGCGAACGGGUGAGUAACACGUGAGUAAUCUGCCCUUCACUCUGGGAUAGCCACCGGAAACGGUGAUUAAUACCGGAUACGACACACGACCGCAUGGUCUGUGUGUGGAAACUUUUUUGGGUGGGGGAUGUGCUCGCGGCCUAUCAGCUUGUUGGUGGGGUAAUGGCCUACCAAGGCUUCGACGGGUAGCCGGCCUGAGAGGGUGACCGGCCACACUGGGACUGAGACACGGCCCAGACUCCUACGGGAGGCAGCAGUGGGGAAUUUUGGACAAUGGGCGAAAGCCUGAUUCAGCCAUGCCGCGUGCGGGAAGAAGGCCUUCGGGUUGUAAACCGCUUUUGUCAGGGAAGAAGCGCAAGUGACGGUACCUACAGAAGAAGCACCGGCUAACUACGUGCCAGCCGCCGCCGUAAGAC